CGGGGAAUAAUAACCUAAAAAUGUAACAUAACAUAACACCAGUCUUCUUGACCGUAGGUUGUUUUUUUUUCCUUGCAGAGAUAUGCAUAUGACGUCGGGACGUCCGUCUUUGAAGCAAGUUGCCAAGCAACGAAAAGGAUGUACACAUGCUCCAGUCUGGAUAAAGAAAACCUGAGAAGAGAUGAUGCUGACCACUCAGAGGACCUCAGAUGAUGCUAACCCAGAAUCAACAAACAGAACUAACAAAUAUUGCUACAGACAGUGCCAUACAACAAGAUUACUUAGCACAGAAAGUUAAGUAGGACAUGGACAGAAGAGCUUUCACCAAGAAACGUAGGAUAGAAGAAUGGAAGACAUCGUCCACUCUCUUCUCCCUGGAAAAACCACAACAGUCACACACUAAUGUGUCUUUACAGUUUGAUCUGGGCAGCUGCUCCGGAGCUCAGCAACAUCACAUCAGACGACUCCUUAACCAGGAACAGACCUUUUCCCAGCAUGCCCUCCCUAAACUUAGAAGCCCCACCUGGGUCGAUCAUCCUGUAAACUCCUAUCCUCAGCAGCAGUCACUAAGCAGAGUGGAACGUUUGAAAUAACCUCUCUAGAAUCUCUCAACAGUGGCAGGAAGACAAAGAUCUUGAUUUUAAUUCAUAUCACAUAUUUGAGAGAAGAAAACAAAAACCACAAGAAUCUUUUGAAGGAUCCAGAUCCUGGUUCCAUCAGCAGCAAGUUCAGGAUGAAAGAGAAAGAUGGGCUCCCUUGUCAUUCUCAGCAUCCUAUCUCUCUGAAGGCAUUCAGUACAAGCCUUAUUUUCGUUGCCCUCAUCCAUCUAAUGCCUAGCACAGGUCUGACUGCCUUGGUAUGACUCACUGUCCCAGGACAAACACACCACCUUACCUUUAGCAAAGCUGUUUGGCAAGAUUAUCUUUGUAUGUUGUCUUUGUAGUUACACCCAUACACACACAACCAUACAGACACUCACACAUACAGACAUACCUUUUAUUUAUUUUAUUUUAUUUUAUUUUAUUUAUUAUUAUUAUUAUUUUUUAAUUUUUUUUUUUUUUUUAAACCAUUACUUCUAAUUAAAUCAGAUUUGAAUUUCAGGGUCAAGUAUGCUCAAAAUAUGUGCAAUCAUGAUUUCUUUGUAUUUGAGUGAAUGAAACUUCUUAAAAACUUUCUUUUUAAAAUCACUUUUUGUGCUGCACAAAAUACAUAUUAGUUAUCUUUUAUUUUCCUGAAUUAAUAGGGUUUAUUUUUGGUAGCAAGGAUACUGAUUGGUUUGUUAAUUGAUUAUUGUUUUUUUUUUUGUGUGUGUCA